GACGAACGCUGGCGGCGUGCCUAACACAUGCAAGUCGAACGGGGUUAUUUCUUCGGAGAUAACUUAGUGGCGAACGGGUGAGUAACGCGUGAGAAACCUGCCUUUCAGUGGGGGACAACAGUUGGAAACGACUGCUAAUACCGCAUAAUGUCAUUUGGGGGCAUCCCUGAAUGACCAAAGCUUAAUGUGCUGAAAGAUGGUCUCGCAUCUGAUUAGCUAGUUGGUGAGGUAACGGCUCACCAAGGCGACGCUCAGUAGCCGGUCUGAGAGGAUGAACGGCCACAUUGGGACUGGGAUACGGCCCAGACUCCUACGGGAGGCAGCAGUGGGGAAUAUUGGGCAAUGGGGGAAACCCUGACCCAGCAACGCCGCGUGAAGGAAGAAGGCCUUCGGGUUGUAAACUUCUUAUACCAGGGACGAAUCAAUGACGGUACCUGGAGAAAAAGCAACGGCUAACUACGUGCCAGCCGCCGCAGUAAUAC
rnacentral:rRNA from 1 species